rnacentral:rRNA from 1 species
GACGAACGCUGGCGGCGUGCUUAACACAUGCAAGUCGAACGAUGAACGCGGAGCUUGCUCCGGUGGAUUAGUGGCGAACGGGUGAGUAACACGUGAGUAACCUGCCCUUGACUCUGGGAUAACUGCGGGAAACUGUAGCUAAUACCGGAUACGACCCUCGGCGGCAUCGCCAGGGGGUGGAAAGAAUUUCGGUCAAGGAUGGACUCGCGGCCUAUCAGCUAGUUGGUGAGGUAACGGCUCACCAAGGCGACGACGGGUAGCCGGCCUGAGAGGGUGACCGGCCACACUGGGACUGAGACACGGCCCAGACUCCUACGGGAGGCAGCAGUGGGGAAUAUUGCACAAUGGGCGCAAGCCUGAUGCAGCAACGCCGCAUGAGGGAUGACGGCCUUCGGGUUGUAAACCUCUUUUAGUAGGGAAGAAGCGAGAGUGACGGUACUUGCAGAAAAAGCGCCGGCUAACUACGUGCCAGCAGCCGCUGUAA